rnacentral:rRNA from 1 species
GACGAACGCUGGCGGCGUGCUUAACACAUGCAAGUCGAACGAUGAACCCGGAGCUUGCUCUGGGGGAUUAGUGGCGAACGGGUGAGUAACACGUGAGUAACCUGCCCUGGACUCUGGGAUAAGCGUUGGAAACGACGUCUAAUACCGGAUAGGACCUUGGAUCGCAUGAUCUGGGGUGGAAAGUUUUUUCGGUCUGGGAUGGACUCGCGGCCUAUCAGCUUGUUGGUGAGGUAAUGGCUCACCAAGGCGUCGACGGGUAGCCGGCCUGAGAGGGUGACCGGCCACACUGGGACUGAGACACGGCCCAGACUCCUACGGGAGGCAGCAGUGGGGAAGAUUGCACAAUGGGCGAAAGCCUGAUGCAGCAACGCCGCGUGCGGGAUGACGGCCUUCGGGUUGUAAACCGCUUUUAGUAGGGAAGAAGGGCUUCGGCUUGACGGUACCUGCAGAAAAAGGACCGGCUAACUACGUG